GGUACCUGUACUCGUUGCGGUGCAACGAUGGUUAAAGG
rfam:Haloplasma contractile SSD-17B Contig2, whole genome shotgun sequence.